rnacentral:rRNA from 1 species
AGCAGCCGCGGUAAUUCCAGCUCCAAUAGCGUAUAUUAAAGUUGUUGCAGUUAAAAAGCUCGUAGUUGAAUUUCGGGAUUAGUACGCUGGUCAUGCCUUUGGUAUGUACUGGUGUUACUGGUUCCUACCUUCUGAAGAACCGUUAUGUCAUUAAUUUGGUGUGGCGGGGAAUCAGGACUGUUACUUUGAAAAAAUUGAGUGUUUAAAGCAGGCUCGCGCUUGAAUACAUUAGCAAUGGAAUAAUGAAAUAGGACGUUGAUCCUAUUUUGUUGGUUUCUAGGAUUGACGGUUAAUGGAUUAAUAGGGAUAGUUGGGGGGCAGUUAGUAUUCAAUUGUCAGAGGUGAAAUUCUUGGAUUUAUUGAAGACUAACUACUGACGAAAGCAUUUGCCAAGGAUGUUUUCAAUUAAUCAAGAACGAAAGUUAGGGGAUCGGAAGACGAUCCGAAGAUACCG